rnacentral:rRNA from 1 species
UACGAAGGGGGCUAGCGUUGCUCGGAAUCACUGGGCGUAAAGCGCACGUAGGCGGACUCUUAAGUCGGUGGUGAAAUCCUGGAGCUCAACUCCAGAACUGCCUUCGAUACUGAGAGUCUUGAGUCCGGGAGAGGUGAGUGGAACUGCGAGUGUAGAGGUGAAAUUCCGUAGAUAUUCGCAAGAACACCAGUGGCGAAGGCGGCUCACUGGCCCGGACUGA